rnacentral:rRNA from 1 species
UACGUAGGUGGCAAGCGUUGUCCGGAUUUACUGGGCGUAAAGAGCGCGCAGGCGGUCGUUCAAGUCGCGUGUGAAAGCCCCUGGCUCAACUGGGGAGGGUCACGCGAUACUGAUCGACUCGAAGGCAGGAGAGGGUAGUGGAAUUCCCGGUGUAGUGGUGAAAUGCGUAGAUAUCGGGAGGAACACCAGUGGCGAAGGCGACUUCCUGGCCUGUUCUUGACGCUGAGGCGCGAAAGCUAGGGGAGCAAACGGG